AAUGCUGUGGGUGAGAUUUUCAGGAUUGCUGCGGUAAUAAAUGGGCUUGUUCUUGUUGGUGUUGCAGUUGGAUUUGCUCUCCUUCGAAUUGAAGCAUCUGUGGAGGAAGCUGAGACGUGAAGAAUUCCAAGAAAAUAAUUUUAUGGGGUUUUCUUUAUCAAAAUGUAUCUUUGUUUAUUUGAUGUAGAAUUCAAUUAAUUGGGUGGUAUCUAUAUAACAAACAAUUAAACUGCAUGGGGUUUAAUUAGAAAUCAUAAAUACAAUUAAACUCUCUUCUCCUCUCCUCUCCUCUCCUCUCCUAUGCAUAUCUCAACCAUCCAUUUAAUAUUAAGAGUUUUUGCAUCUUAGGUUCUGUUUGAUUACCUUUUAAUGCCUCUGAAUGGAUUUGUCUUUGAUUCGGUCAGAGGUAAAUUUUGUUUGAUAAAUUUUUUGUUGGCUCUUAAUAGAUUAGACACAAAAAUAAUUCUAUAACAUUCAGAGGUAUGUCUGAGCGAAUAACUAUUUUUUUGGGACAAAACUAACCUUUCAAUACUACCUUCGCUGCUGCUCUUCCUCUUCUUCGUUGCUGAACAAUCCUUGAUUUGGGCGUAAAUCUUAAGCAGACCAUAAUGAUCCUACCCUCCUCUAACAUCGGUCUACCGACAGAGCUUCAUCAGUCUACCGAACAGUACGAGUGAUAGAACUACACAAUUGUAAAUCUCUAAUCUACCGAAAGAGGUUGGUAUGCUGUUAUUCAGACAUUUUGGAAAAAUUAAUUAUCAAACAACAUUUUUUCAUUCAGACACAAUUCUAUUCAGAUACUCUAUAUUAUUCAGACGUCUAAACUGUUCAGAUCUUAACACUAAGUUUUAUCAAACACCACCUUAAUCUCUU
rnacentral:lncRNA from 1 species